GUCUUGCUGGCGAACGGCGGCUAUUACCGCUUCAUAAGCGGCGGCGUCGGCGCGGAUGGCGGCGGUGAGUUCGACGCGCAGGCUAGAAGCC
rnacentral:tRNA from 1 species